rnacentral:lncRNA from 1 species
AAACCAAAUGAAUCUUGAUAUUUGCAAGUCCAAUACUUAGAAAGGCUCUCCUUCAGGUUGCUCACAGCCACACGAAGUUGUCUGGCCUCUAUAGUAUGUCCACAUGAAGACAGAUGCAGAUCAGGGUCCUUGGAAGUGCUGGCUUGCAAGGAACUUGGAGGCUGAUUUCUUCCUUCUUCUUCAAGGGCUUUGGAUGCUCCAAAGGAUGAAGAGAUCUGGAGGGGG